rnacentral:rRNA from 1 species
UACGUAGGGCGCAAGCGUUGUCCGGAAUUAUUGGGCGUAAAGAGCUCGUAGGCGGUCUGUCGCGUCGGUUGUGAAAACCCAAGGCUCAACCUUGGGCCUGCAAUCGAUACGGGCAGACUAGAGUACUGCAGGGGAGACUGAAAUUUACGGUGUAGCAGUGAAAUGCGUAGAUAUCGUAAGGAAGACCAGUGGCGAAGGCGAGUCUCUGGACAGCAACUGACGCUGAGGCACGAAGGCCAGGGGAGCAAACGGG